GCUUGUGUUUUUGCACAUAUUUAAUUGUGCCGACGCGUUGAAAAUGUUAUGGUAGUUAUUAAUGUAACCUUAUAAAAAUAUAUAUUGCAAAACGUAAUAUAUUAUAUAUUUAUGGUUAUUAAUAAAAAUUCAUUAUGAUGAAUAACACGGGAGAUCGUUUCGUACCUCAUGUACAUUUAGUUUCACGGUGCAAAAAGAAUGCGGGUUGCUUCUUUUAUAUUUAGAAGUUUAUAUUAGAUCUAAAAUAUUUAAGCAAAAAUUAUAGUUAAUUAUACACAUAAAAAUAAAUCAUGUUACCAUUAAUAUGUUUGGGACAGCAUGUAAAUUAAGUGCGUACGAAUGAAUUCUCAAACAAACAUUUGUAGCAUGUGUAUGUUAUUGUUAUUGCUUUAUUUUUCAAUUUGACGGAAUAAAUAAUUUAUGACAAGUGUGCAGUAAUUAAAUAGACAAAACUGUACUAUGUGUUCAAAACUUUGUGGUGAAGUGGAAUAAGUGGAGAGACCUUGAAUCUGUCUCUAGACUAAUUUAUGGGGCUUCUUGAUGAGUGUCCUUGCGAUCGGCGAAGGGUCCACGCUUGCGGCAGAUCAUUCUAAUUUGGAAGAAAAUAAAGUAUCAGAAUAUUUAUGGACAAUAAUUUUUAUUGUAAUAAGAAAUUCAGUAGCGAAGUAUCAUCAAUUUAUUGGAAACGUAUAAGGAAAUUUGACUUCGAGUGAAAAAAUAUUACCGGGCAUGUAUCCUUCAAAUGUGCAAGAAAUACCGGAUGCCUUUUUACAAGUUUCAUCUUCCUCGUCUGGUUCAGGAGCGCAUUCGUUUUUAACGCAGAAUGGAUUCUCUGGACUUUGUUCAGAACAUGUGAUUUCAAGCAUUGGUUCUGUUCCUUGGC